ACCAGGAAACUUUCUUCCACACUGAUGUUUCACAGACAGGAACACUGUCACUGAAGGAGCUCAGGAAUGCAAUCACAGUUUCAGGAAUGAGGAUCAGCGAUGAAAUGCUGAAUAUAAUUGCUCUGCGCUACGGUUCCUCCUCUGGAUUCAUAACACUGGAAAACUUCAUCAGUCUAAUCCUUCGCAUUGACUGCAUGAACAACAUCUUCGGCCAGCUGUCUGAUGGAUUGACUGUCACUCUUCGAGAAUCAGAGUGGAUGUACCUUUCGAUGUACACUUAAGCUGACACAGAUGAUGGACUGCAGGAUUCACUUAGAAUUACAUCUGCAGAUGAUGUGAAAGGAAAUAAAUGCAAAAUGUGUUCUUCUACAAAUGAGCAGUUACAUGGUAUUAAACAGCAGAGCAUUUACAGUACUUUUAACUUUGCUAAUGGACGGGGUGAAACUCCCUUCGCCUCAUGUUCUCAUUCCUGUGACUCAGUGCAAAGUAACAUUGGGGAACAAAUGGGAUGAACAUGUCAGUUUAGAAGACGCAGGCUACUAAUUUUUGAUUUGCAACUUUGCUUACAUGUUACAGACAGUACAGCAGCCAAAAUGUACACUAGUACAGUUUAGGACUGUAUUGCAUGAGUGUGGUGUCUUUCCAAAAACUUUCUUUAAAAAACAAUUUUUUGUUAUUUUUGUUGUUUUUUGUUUUUUUGAUAAAAUGCUAUGUUUGGUACUGAAAAUUGAUUUUUUUUGUGUUCAAAUUGUAUAUAGAUUUAGAGCACUGUGAAUUGGAUCAUGAACACAAAACGUUUAUGAAUUAGUUAUUCGUAUUGUUACAUUGCUUGCAGCUUUUAUAUUUAAACUGUAAUAAUGUAUCCUAGAUUUUUCUUGUCACUUCUCAGAUGGUUGAAAUACGGUAGUAAUAUUAUAUUUUGUACCCCAAUGUAUAGAUUUAAGCAUUAUUGCAUCAUGUAAGUACAGUGGGUAAACUGGUACUGUAAAUUGUGCUUGGGAUCAGAUGGCAUCAAGAUUUAUUUUAAUGAUGUAAGAAUUAUUACUAUUAUAUUUCAUAAUUACUCAUAUAAAGUUAUAUUUACAUAAAUUAUGCUUGGUGCUCAAACACAGCCAAAGUGGAUAGACAAUGUUUAUCAAAUGUGGAAUUUUUAAUGUAAUGGAUGUCGGCCAUAUUAUCUGCCCAGAGAAUUCUUCAGUGUUUUUGUUGUUGCUGUUUCUAAUCCUCCAGACGCAAAUUUAAAAAAUGCAAGAGAGCACAUUCCCGUUGUCACUGACGUUUCUAUGAACACUUUGAGGGACUCUGACAUAGACCCAAUAUUUGUCAGUAUCACUGGACAAUUGAGAUACUUUAUGUUUAGAGUAAAAGCUUGUGGGUUUUUGUGAACUACAGUUCAUUACUAUUUGUUUAGUCCAGUUUACUUGGUCAGGAAAUCAAUCAAUUCCGUUGUUCUUGUUAAAUUUCCAUUAGCCAGUAUAUAAUACCGACAAUUGCAAUGAAUCUUUUGCCUGAACCUUAGAGGAUAAAUGUAAUUUUUUUAUCUGUCUCAAAUUGUUUCUUGAAAGCAAGCAUAACACAAGAUGUGAUAAGUUGUAGAGCUUGUUUUUGUUUUUGGCAGUGAUUACUUAUCAGUUAGCUGUAGAGUUGCACCACAUAAUGCAAGUAGGUUCCUAUUACUAGAAAUACAGUAUGCUAAAGUGUGUGCAUAAAACCUACUGUCUCAAAACAAAAAAGAGAUAUGUAUAUUUACCCUGUGUUGAUGCACCAGUGCUGCUUGCAGUUGAUGCAGCAGUGUUUGUGCUGCUUUCGGAGCUGAGAGGUGCAGUGGUUGGGUCGGUUCUGUUGGUGGUUAGGCCCAGACCCAGUCUGUCCAGGUCUGAUUGCAACCGCAUGUUCACCCAGGUCUGAAUCACAGUAUCAUUCUCAAACAGCUUCAGAUCUUGUAGCUGCAGUCGCUGUCACACACUUGUAACUUACAUGAAAAGAUCAUAGUUUUUCUAGAGACAAUUUGGUAUAAACUAUUGUCAUAACAUUUUAACUAACGGCUUGUCAGACUUCUCUUAGGGUUGGCAUACUUGGCCCAGUACUCACAAUAAAGAACAUCAUACAUUUUGUAACUUUUUUUGCACUCUGUUAGUACAAACAGUAUUCUAUGUUAAAAAGAAAGGAUGACAAAUUACAGAGGAUCACAACUCAUCUAGAGCAUUGAGAGAGUUGCUCUGAUGGAUGUAUCCUGUUGUGAUGCAUGUGACAUUCAUUAUAAUUUGGUAUCACUUACCUAGAUGAUAGAGUUAUACUUUUUAAAAGAACAUUCCUCACAGGGAUUGUAGUUACAUUAACGAUGUAAGUAGUGUACAUGAAAACAGUACAAUGCAAUAGUAGCUUCAGGUAGACCAGUUAGGAUUAAUUCAUUCCCUUUAUUACACAUCAUACUUUUGCUCUGUGUAUGUUGAACAGGAUCAGCAAUGACAUGUUGUAUUUGAUGGCUCUGCGCUACAGUGCCCCCUGUGGACACAAGACACUGGAAAGCGUCUCACUAAAGAUAAUGAUGGUGAUGGAGCAGUGGAUAAACCCAUUCCCUUGGUUUGAUUCCCACCACAACAUCCACCAAUGUGUCCCUGAGCAAGACACUUAACCCCUAGUUUCUCCAGAGGCGUGCAACCUCUGUAAGAAUUCUUUUCACCAGUUCAAGGUUUAAACGUUUCACACUGUUGUUGAUCUAGACUAGAAGAAUAGAAUGACACAAUGUAAUAAUAAUAAUCAUUCAUUUAGCUGACGCUUUUAUCCAAAGUGACUUACUAUCACUAAGUAUUUCAGAGGAUGGACGGCUCUGGAACAACUAAGGGUUAAGUGUUUUGCUCAGGGACACAUUGGUGUGUCACAGCGGAUUUGAACCCGAUGUUCUGUCGAUAUGUGCUACCUAUUGAGAUGUGCUACUUGGCAGUUCUUUGCAUGGCUAAUGGUUAGAGUUAGGAUUAGACACCAACAAUUUGCACUAAAUUAGCAUUUUUCCAUAAGGAAGCAUAAAUUGUCAGAGCACCGGGUCUCUCACACCAAAUGCAUGUGUCCACUGCACCAUCAUGUUUUCUGUGAUAAGAGAUGCGUUGUUGUGUAAAUGUUGCAUAAAUAAAAUGUCUCCCUCUUUA